rnacentral:misc_RNA from 1 species
GUGGGAGGGGGCUUGCCCCCGAUAGCGGUGUGCCAGCCGACAUCAUUAUUGGUUGUGAGGCAGCAAUCGGGGGCAAGCCCCCUCCUAC